rnacentral:lncRNA from 1 species
UUUCCUGACACUAUGAAUUUUCUGACACUGUGAAUUUUCUACUAAAAUAUCAGCCCCGUUCCUUACAGAAAAUUCUAAAUCUUCUAUUUUCUUUCCGAUUUUAGCACAACUCGUUUCCAACUUAUAUUUUACUUCUUUAAGUCCAAUAAAAAUAAUAUUUCACACUAUUUUCAUUUAUAUUUACUUUUAUAUCAAGAAGUCGAUAAAUUACAUUCUCCACCCCUUAAAAGAGUUUCGUCUGUAAAACUCAA